rnacentral:lncRNA from 1 species
CAACAAAGUAGGCUUGGAUUUGCCUUUCUAUCUGAGUUUACAUAAUAUUGCAAAUAGAUUAAUUAUCCUGCUAGCUUACAAUAUAUUUUUUGAAGAUAGACAAAAUAUUUAUGAAAGAGUAAGGAACUAGAAGAAGGGUCAUUGGAGGCAAACCGCUGCUUUUGCAUAUUGAACACGGUACAAGUUUCCUUCCUUGGCCAUCUCUUCUUCCAUUUCUUCAUAAACAUCCAAGAGAGCCUGAUAACAAGGCUUCAUAUAAUCUGGGAGUUGAUUUACGCUGUUGGCAUCCCAUCUGAAAGUGAAGCAACAGAUAUCCUUGGAACUUUUUGAAAUUUGACUAGAAAUUUGGAAAUUAAGCCAACAAUUUUGAUGGGCAUGCAUGUAUCAAACCUUUCAAUUGCUUCUGUAAAGAGUUUGAGUUCUUCGAAUGUACCAUAUGCAUCAUAUAUAUCAUCUAUGAUGGAUAUCAUGGCUAAUACUUUGAUUAAGAUCCUUCUAGCAAGGGAAUAUUGGGGUUCAAAAUACACUCCCAAUAUCCAGAAGUAGCCCUCCACUAAUCUGUCCCGUGCAAAAGGCAUCUUUUUGGCAAAAUUCAAACCUUUCCACCACCUUAAAGAUAUAUCAACAGAUUAUCAGAGUGAGAAAAUUGCCAAAUAUGUAGCUUUCUGAAUAUUGUUGGUUCCGCAACUUACCUAGUGACCUCACUUAGCUCUUUCCUGUGGAGUGACUGCAAUAGAUUGAAAUCUAACUUUGAGAGCUUGAGUAAUGUUUUAUUAUGCGGACCAUCUUCUUGGUAGACGGAAAUGUAAUGUCUUGCCUCCACCCUUGUUAAGCACUUGCGAAUAGGUCUCUUUAGUGCACGAGUCACUUGUGCUGCAAGGGGAUGAGUUGAAUCGGUUGCCAUGGACUGAAGGUGAGCAGUGCUGAAAGCCAGAGCUUCCUCUAGUAUGUCUUCUCCAUGCACCAUUAAAUGUGUAGCUUCGUAUAAAGCUAGCAAGCCUGGUAAGUCACCAGUCAAUGAUUCCUUGAAGUUGCCUUCGUCGUCUUUGAACUUAUUGAAUACAUCUGUUUAUCAGCGAAGUUGACCAUUCAAUCGAUGAUAUGUAAUUGCAGAUGACAUAUAUAUGUUUAGACAACAAUGGGUCAUGGGAUUUUACCAGGUGGAAUAUGGUAACCUUCUUGUCUUAGAAGUCGGAAACGAAGAGAAGCAUUGGUCAGGUCAUCAUUAUCAUCAUCAUCCAGAUUAUAGGUUUGAUACAUGUCCUCUAAUGCUUCUUUGAUCUCCCUUUCAAACUGGUAUGCCAAUCCCAAGCGUUGGAUGGAAUCUAUGAAGUUCAGCAGUUGUGAAGACUUCCUGGCAGUAGCUUUUAGCUCGUUUCUCAGUUCAUCUUUCAGUUCUUCAAUUUGUUGCACUUUACGAGCAUGGGUUACCUGCACCAGUAAAUUGUAUGAACAAAUCGUAUGCUAGAAAUGUUAGACUGAGUGAAUGACAUACUUCGAGCUGAAAUUAACUUUAAGAAAAUGGUUGUCCAAUAUUAGACCAAAUUUUCCGGGAGGUCGCCACAUAUUUUGCUUUUCCAAUUUGUUCAGUCCGAAAAGAAAAAAGGUUGCUUGUGAGGGAGGGUUUUGGGAACAUGAUCAAUAUUAUGUCCCUUACAGAGAAAAUUGGUUGGUUGUCUAAUAUGGAAUCAAAGCCUACUUUAUGUUUAUUUCCCUAUAGGAGGAGAAUGUUUAUUUCCUCACUUCCCAUGUUAAGCUUUUAGGAAAAAAAAUGUAUUUUUGAAUUACUUGAAAAAAUGUAAAAACAGAUAUAUCAGUACUUGAAUUUUUUGGAUAUAUAAAAAAUAUUAAAAAAAUAUCGAUGAAUAUUAGUACUAAAUUUUAUGGAUAUAUCGAAAAUAUUAUAAAAAUAUCGAUGAAUAUUAGUAGUGAAUUUUAAAAACAGCCAUAAAUAAACUCUAAAUCAUGACUAAAAAUAACAUGUUUUGCUUUGACAAAUUAUGGAAGCGCAUUUACCGGAUCAGCAGGAGUAUAGGUGAGGAAACGAUCACCCCAAAAGCAAGGACGAAAAUUUGCACUGCGGCGAGCCGCCUCAGGAUUAAGCCUUUGGGUUGGAAUAGGAGCUGUAACUGAGAGUGGAAGAGACAUAUUUUGGUUGGAGAAGAAACCUUUAAAGAAAGUGUUGUAAUUGUUUAAGUAUUUGAGCCUGGGAAGUCAGGUAUUUAAAGGAGCCUGGCCUGCUUGAUUUAUGAAGAUAGGUUACGAGCACGAUUUUCUUCUGUUUGAAAUUUUAAAUCUUUUGGAUUUAUUAGGCUUAGGGAGAAUCUGGCCCUAUACUAGCCCCAAAAAAUGGAAAAAAGGAUGAGAGGAGAAAAAUAUAAAAGAAGGAAAGAAAAAUCUUGCCAACCUUAGAAAUUCGAAAAUAAAACAAUAAUAAAUAAACAAAUAAAAAUAUAAAAAAGACCAUUUUAAAAAUAUUAUCCUCACUUUUUUAGGACUUUUUUUUUUGUAAUUCUUAAAAUUAUUAAAUAUUAUUUAAAAUAUAAGGUGAUGUUUGAUAAAAUUGAAAAUUAAAUAUUAAAAAGUUUUAAUAAUAUCCUUUAAAAAUUUAAAUGUUACAUAUAAUAUCUCAAGAAGAUAAAAAUAUCAGUGAAAUAGUUAAAUUUUCAUUAAAUAAUAGAGUUUGAAAUAAUAUAUUUAAAACUGUAAAAAAAAAAAAAUAAUAUCAUUUUUUUUUUAAUCAUCUUUAUUUUGGAAUGUAAGUAUUUUUUUUAAAAAAAAUAGAUAAUUAUCUUUUCCAGUACCAAAACUUUACUUCUAUAUACAUAGAGGUAGAUGGAACUUCAUGCCAUGUGUAUUUGGGCAAAGCAUGAUAAAAUAAUUGAGAUGAAGAUACUGGUAUCCAAUGAUUUUAUAUUUUUGAACCAAUUAAUCAUAAAAUUAUUAAAAUUGUCAAAGUAUUAUCCCAAGAUUUGGUUAUAUUUUUUAAAGGUUGGAAGCAUUUGAUAAAAUUUAAAGUAUUUUUUUUGUUUUGUUGUCAAAAUUAGAUAUUUAAAAAAAAAAUUAAAACUAUUUUAAAAAUAAUAGUCACAAAAAGUUUUUUUUUUUUUUUUUUUUGUUUUUAAAUAUUUGAUUAGUGUUUCUUUUGAAAAAUAUUUAUUCUUUUUUCUUUUUUGUCAUAUAAUAUAUGAUAAAUUUUUUUUUUCAAAGCACUUAGAUUGAUUUCCAUGUAAAUAUUAAUUGAUUUUUUUUUCUUAUGAUAAAAGGGUUAAAAGCACUUUCACCGUAAUCUUGGGUCUAAUUUAUUUGUGAGAGAAUCCAAAAUGUUUUCAAAAGUUUAAUUUUUUUUUUAAAUUACAAUCAUAAAUUUUUAAAAGUCACGAAUCCUAUUCUUCUUGAACAAAUAUAGAUUAAUGAAUAAUUUUUUCAAAUUUAUUUUUGUAUAGGAAAGAUAAUGGGAUAGGUUUUUUUGAAACCUAUCCUACUUUAUCCCCAAUGAAAAGGGUUUAAAAAAAAAUAAACGAGUUUAAAAUGGGUUUAACACACAUACAUUUGUUACCAAAAUUCAAUAACUUUUUAUUCAAACAAUUUGAAUACAGAGUUUUAUUAAGAAUUGUCCUUUGCACCAUACAUUUCAAUCUUCAAGAAGGAAACGUGAUUGAUAUGAUGUAUUUUUUUAUCAUUAAAAAAGAAAAACAGUUACAUUUCUUAAAAAAAAUAUAAAUACUCUAAUAAAAAACUAUAAAAAUUUAUUUUAUAGUUUAAAAUUUUAUUAUAAAAAUUAUUAAAAUUUGAGAUAAUGAUUUUUUUUUUUUUUGGUAAUAUUUACUUAUUUUUUACUGGUUUUUACUAAGCAUUAUUGUUAUUAUUAUUAUUAUUUUUAUAAAUAAAAGUAUCUAUUAUAAUUAAUAAUUUGUAAUUUGGAAAUAAAAGUUUAAAAAGGAGAAUCCAACACGCCACGAUGUACUCAUGGGAACAUAUAGUAAUGACUAAUGACAUGCCAUGUCACCUCAUGUCCUCAAAUAGUGAUAGCUAUAUCCUUGCUGCACACUUAAAUCGUGAUGCCAUUCACAUCCUAUCAUAUCAAUUUGAAUAAUAAUUUCCUUGCUGCUCGAUCAUUGACUUAGGUGGAAAGGAGUUUAAGACCAAAAUAAUAUAUUUGUAAAAAAAAAUGAUAAGAAUAGUAUCCAUUUGAAAAUAUUUGUCAAAGUAGUCUUCUUUAUCCACGUAAGCAUCCACAUGGAUUUUAAGUGUAAAGAACCACCGUUGGUGACUGUGGUUUUAGUACUUACAAAAAUUUCCUUAAAACCACAGUUACAAACUGUGGUUUUACAAUUUCUCUUAGAACCACAGUUAUUAACUGCGGUUUUAAAAGAAGUUUCCUUAAAACCACAGUUACAAACUGUGGUUUUACAAUUUCCCUUAAAACCACAGUUAGUAACUGUGGUUUUACAAUUAUUUUCAAUUCACAUCUAUUUUAAUGGUGUUGUAAUUUUAAUAUUAUUUUUAAAAUAUUUUUUUAUCAAAAUUACAAUUAUGUUGUAAUUUUCACAAAUAUUUUUAAGGGGACUUAUGUAUAAAAAAGUAUGGGAUUUUCGAAUUUUGCUUUUCACAAAUUUUUUUGUUACGACUGUUUUAAAAUAUAUAUAUAUAUAUAUUAUCUUUAUUUUUUCAUAUUUUCCUUGAAAAUUUGAGAAAAUAAUUUGGUCUACAUGCAUUCCCAUAAAAAUUUAUAUAUUUAUAGUAAAUAAAAUAUUUAUUUGUUUUACAAAUAUUUUCACAUAUGAACUAAAGAAAAUUAUUUAUUCAUAUUAUUUUUAAAUUUUAAAAUAACUAAAGAAAUUGUUUAUAUUAUUUUAAAAUUUUAUCUUUUCAUAUGAAAAUUAAUGUCAGUGAUUAUGAUUUUAGGUUAUUUAUUAUUAAGUAUGAUUUGAACUUAUGUCUGGGUUAAAAUGUAUAAUUUUUUAAUUAUAUGAAAGAAAAAUAGGUAGUGGUUGUAAUAAUUUAUUUAAUUAGAAUUUAUUUCAUUUAGACUUUAGGAUGCAUUUGAGUUUUAUUUGUUUAAAUUAUCAAGGAAACAUGUGAAUAACAUAACAUCACUAAUUUGAAUAACUGUGGUUUUAUGGUUGUUUUGAUAAAAAAAAUAUUUUAAAAAUAAUAUUAAAAUUAUAACACCAUUAAAAUGGGAACAAAUUAAAAAUAAUUGUAAAGUUAGGAAAUUGUAAAACCACAGUUUGUAACUGUGGUUUUAAGGAAACUUAAUUUAAAACCGCAGUUAGUAACUGUGGUUCUAAGAGAAAUUGUAAAACCACAGUUUGUAACUGUGGUUUUAAGGAAAUUUUUGUAAGUUCUAAAACCACAGUUACCAACGGUGGUUCUUUACACUUAAAAUCUAUGUGGAUGCUUACGUGGAUAAAGAAGACUACUUUGACAAAUAUUUUCAAAUGGAUACUAUUCUUAUCAUUUUUUUUUAUAAAUAUAUUAUUUUGGUCUUAAACUCGGUGGAAAGUGGCUUACGUGUUACAAGUUCAAGCAAACAAUUUAAGACUUAAAAGCUCUCAAUUAUUUCAUUUCUUAAUUUUAAGUAUAUUCAACCCAUGUGAAACCUGUGAAACCAAACCCAGUGUCAAAUUGAGAAUUUCCAAUAUGAUAUUAGCACGCAAAUGAAGAUAGACAAUCACUAGUCUCACUUAAAAGGAGUAAAUGUUUUGCGAGGUAAGAAAGUUUUAUUUAUGAUAGUGAUUUUUUUUUCUUUUUGAAUAGGUUUUUAUUGAUAGUGAUUUUUUUUCUUUUGGAAUAGGUUUUUAUGGGUAUGUGUUGUUAUCUAAAUCCUUGAAAAUACAUAGAUAAUAAGUGUGCAUAAUAAACAUACAAAUAAAAUAAAGUAAGUUGAAAAUUGAAACUCAUAAAUAAGGUUAGUCGAGGUUAGAGUUUGAUUUUAUGUUCUUAAGAUGAAUUUGUCCUUUUUAUGUGCUUAUGGUUUAUUGACAAUCAGAUCAUUUUUUGGCAAAAAAAGAAAAUGAUUAGACUUGAAACUAAGGACUUGAAUGACCAAAACAAGAAAAAGGCGGGCCCGGGGAGGGAGGAAUGAACGAAUAAUGUCAUCAAGGGUCCUUAUUUAUAUAUUUGUUGGUGAUUUAUUAGAAAAGAUGUGUCUUUAAAGUACUAGACACAUCUUUUGAAGGGUUGUAUCUUAAGACAUCAAACAUAUUAUUUGAAAGAUGUUGCAUCUUCUAGAUACAAGACACAUCCUUUAAAAUAAGUUGUGUCUAUCAAGAAACAACAAUGUGUCUUUCUAAAGAAAAAAAACAAAGUCAUAAUUCCCCUUCACCUAUAUAAAUUUCAACAUAUGUCAUAUACCAAAUGAUUUUAUAUUUUAGAUCCAAAUGAUGAUAAAAUUGUUAAAAUUGUCAAAAUAUAAAGAGAGGAUUUGGUUAUAUUUUUUAAAUGUUAGAAGCAUUUGGUAAUAUUAAAUUUUUUUUUUGUUUUGUUGCCAAAAUUAUAUAUUUUAUAAAGUUUUUUAAAACUAUUUAAAAAUUUGUAGAGUCACUAAAAGUAUUUUUUUUAAUACUUAAUUAGCGUUUCCUUCAAAAAAAAAUAUUUUUUUUUUCGUUUUGUUAUGUGAUAUAUGAUUAAAACACUUUGAAAGCAUUUAGAUUGAUUUAUAUGUAAAUAUCAAUUGAUUUUUUUUAAAAGUGUUUAUGAUAGAAGCGUUAAAAACACUUUCAUCAUAAUCUUUCUUAAAAGAGUCAAAUUUAUUUGAGAGAGAAUUCAAAAUGUUUCCUAAUGGUUAAAUUAUUUAAAAAAAAAAAACAAAUUACAACAAUCAAUUUUUUAAAAUUACAUUUAAAAAUAUAGAUUGUGAGGUUUGUGCUCUCCUCAAUUUUUUAGUAUUUUAAGUUUUUAAUUUUUGUAUAUCAUUUCCAUUAAUUCUAAGUAUAAUUAGUGUUUUUAAACAAUAUCAUAUUCAUUUGAAAUAGAUUUUUAUUUUUAUUUUUUUAAUUCAAAGAAGGACAAAUUUGGGAGGUAGAAAGUGAAGAAUUGUCACAUUCUUUCUACCUUUCCCAAUUUUAUUGUAUUUUAAAGUUUGUUUGGUUGUAUAAUUUAAAAACAUUUUUUUUUAAAAUAGAAAUCCGCUUUUAAAAAUUCCUAAUACUAUUUUACCAUUGUUUUCUAAAAAUAAAGAGAAAUAGAGAACAAGUUUUGUAGAAUAAGUAGAACUUGUUUUCAUUAGUUUUUAAAAACAAAAUGAAAACAUAGAAAAUUUUUAAAAAACAUAAAAAACAAAUAGAAUUGAACAUGAUAUCAUUAUUUUUUUCUUUCCAUGAUUUGAUACCAAUACAGUAAAUCCUAAAAUAUGAUAUCCCUUCAAAUUACAUCUACUUUUUAAAAAUUCUAUUAACUUUUCUAAAAUUUUUCAUUAAUCAAACAAUUUUCAAAUCAAAUUGUAUUUGACAAAUAAAAUUUAUUAAUUUUAAAAAAUAAUUUGAAACUCAAAAA